rnacentral:rRNA from 1 species
UACGAAGGGUGCAAGCGUUACUCGGAAUUACUGGGCGUAAAGCGUGCGUAGGUGGUUUUUUAAGUCCGUUGUGAAAGCCCUGGGCUCAACCUGGGAAUGGCAGUGGAUACUGGAAAGCUAGAGUGCGGUAGAGGGUAGUGGAAUUCCCGGUGUAGCAGUGAAAUGCGUAGAGAUGUGGAGGAACACCGAUGGCGAAGGCAGCCCCCUGGGAUAACACUGACGCUCAUGCACGAAAGCGUGGGGAGCAAACAGG